AGGGGCGGGGGGCGGGCAACGUGGCCACGGGAGGAAGUUUCUUGAAGUUGUCCGCUCAUUCCGGAGCUCGGCCAGCGACCCGGCCGGAUCGCAGAGGCCUCCUUGCCUGGGAGAAGUAGAAGUUAGGGUGCUAGGGGAGAAGGCGCCCCGAGCCCGAGAGGCAGACUUUGCCAUUUUUUCUUUGCUUUUCUCUCGCCUUCUGGGCGCGCCGCCGGGAUCGGACUUGGGCAGCAGAGGAGGAGGAAAGAUCGGGGUCGCCAGCGCCGCUCCUCCGGGCAUAGCAAGCCCAAGCCCAGGACCCAGAGCCGCCUAGACUGUGUGCCGGGACGAAGCUCCGGGCGGGGUACUGGACCCCACUAGGAUUAUACAGCAGCGCGGAGCGGGAGAGGACCCCGGAGGACACCCCCUCCGGACUGGACACCAUGUGGAGGCUGCUGGUCUGUACUCUGCUGGCUCUCCAUCGGAUUCGCGUGGCUGGAGCCCAAGACGAUGUGUCCCCAUAUUUCAAGACGGAGCCUGUGCGGACACAGGUGCACCUGGAAGGGAACCGCCUGGUGCUCACAUGCAUGGCUGAGGGCAGCUGGCCGCUGGAGUUCAAGUGGCUCCACAACAACCGGGAGCUGACCAAGUUCUCCCUGGAGUACAGGCAAGUUGAGUCGCCUCCCUGUCCAGAUGGGGAACAUCAGGGUGCGGGCUUGGCCACAGACUCCCCCUCCAGUGCUCCUGGGCAGCGGGUGGCUGUCUGGUGGGCCAGGGGGCUCCCUAUAGAAUGGCGGA
rnacentral:lncRNA from 1 species